rnacentral:rRNA from 1 species
UCAAGCGAACAAGGGCAUACGGCGGAUGCCUAGGCGUUUCGAAACGAAGAAGGACGCGAUAAGCUGCGAUAAGCCAUGACGAGCUGCAAGUAAGCAUAGACUCAUGGAUUUCCGAAUGGGGCAACCCGGCGGGAGUAACGUCCCGUCACCUUAUCCUUGAGAUAAGGAGAAAACACCCGAUGAACUGAAACAUCUAAGUAGUCGGAGGAAAAGAAAUCAAAGAGAUUCCCUGAGUAGCGGCGAGCGAAACGGGAGGAGCCCAAACCAGAAGACUUCGGUUUUCUGGGGUUGCGGACCUGCAACAAACUGGACACUUUAGUGGAAGCAUCUGGGAAGGUGCGGCGAAGAGAGUGAGACCCUCGUACACGAAAGAGUGAAAAGCGGGCAGGGAUCCAGAGUACCACGGGGCACGAGGAACCCAGUGGGAAGCAGGGUGGACCACCAUCCAAGGCUAAAUACAUCGAAACGACCGAUAGUGAAAAGUACCGUGAGGGAAAGGUGAAAAGAACCCCGGGAGGGGAGUGCAAUAGAACCUGAAACCGUAUGUCUACAAACAGUCGAAGCACAAUUUAACGUGCGACGGCGUGCCUAUUGAAGAAUGAACCGGCGAGUUAAUUUAUGCUGCGAGGUUAAGCGGGCGACGCGGAGCCGAAGCGAAAGCGAGUCUUAAGAGGGCUGUUAGUAGCAUGGAUUAGACCCGAAACCACAGUGAUCUAUACAUGUCCAGGUUGAAGCUCAGGUAAAAAUGAGUGGAGGACCGAACCCGUGCAUGUUGAAAAAUGUUGGGAUGAGAUGUGUAUAGGGGUGAAAUGCCAAUCGAACGUGGAGAUAGCUGGUUCUCCCCGAAAUAGCUUUAGGGCUAGCCUCAGGCGAAUAACCAUAGAGACGGUAGAGCACUGAUCGGGCAAGGGGGCGUAAAGCCUACCGACCCCAGUCAAACUGCGAAUGGCUCAUAUGGGCAGCCUGGGAGUCAGCGUGCGAGUGAUAAGACCCGUACGCAAGAGGGAAACAGCCCAGACCGCCGGCUAAGGUCCCAAAUGCUGUGCUAAGUGGAGAAGGAUGUAGGACUUCGAAAACAACCAGGAUGUUGGCUCAGAAGCAGCCACCAUUAAAAGAGUGCGUAAUAGCUCACUGGUCGAGAGGCCCUGCGCCGAAAAUAUCCGGGGCUAAAGCACAGAACCGAAGCCGCGGCAGGGUGUACUAAGGUACACACUGGGUAGGGGAGCGUUCUUAUCUGGACGAAGGUAGACCGGAAGGACUGCUGGACGGAUAAGAAGUGAGAAUGCCGGUAUGAGUAGCGAAACGACAGGUGAGAAUCCUGUCCACCGAAAGCCUAAGGGAUCCUGGGCAACGCUCGUCGCCCCAGGGUAAGUCGGGACCUAAGCCGAGGCGAAAAGCAUAGGCGAUGGACAACUGGCGAAAAUUCCAGUACCGGGCGUCUUCGUUUGAGGAUGGAGUGACGCAGGAAGGAAGCUGAGCGCGCGAAUGGUUGGGCGCGUCGAAGGCGGUAGGCUUGUAUGGAGGCAAAUCCCCAUACUACAAGGCCGAGAACCGAUAGAUAGGAAAGACUACGGUCAAUCUGAAUUCAGCUGCACUACACUGCCAAGAAAAGCUUCUAACGAGAAGACGUCUGCCCGUACCAAAACCGACACAGGUAGGCGGGGAGAGAAUCCUAAGGUGCGCGGGAAAACCCUCGUUAAGGAACUCGGCAAAAUGCAUCCGUAACUUCGGGAAAAGGAUGGCCGUAGCUGGUGAAGCUUUUUACAAGUGGAGCUGGAGACGGCGGCAGAAAAGAGGCCCAAGCGACUGUUUACCACAAACACAGGUGCCUGCGAAAGCGCAAGCUGAAGUAUAGGUGCUGACGCCUGCCCGGUGCAGGAAGGUUAAGGAGAGUUGUUAUCCCUAGAGGAGAAGCAGCGAACUGAAGCCCCUGUAAACGGCGGCCGUAACUAUAACGGUCCUAAGGUAGCGAAAUUCCUUGUCGGG